rnacentral:tRNA from 1 species
GCCAUUGCUCAGUAGUAGAACAUUUGUUUGGUAUGCAGAAGGUACUAGGUUCAAUCCCCAGCAUCUGCA